rnacentral:rRNA from 1 species
AUUGAACGCUGGCGGCAGGCCUAACACAUGCAAGUCGAGCGGUAACAGGAAUCAGCUUGCUGAUUCGCUGACGAGCGGCGGACGGGUGAGUAAUGUCUGGGAAACUGCCUGAUGGAGGGGGAUAACUACUGGAAACGGUAGCUAAUACCGCAUAACGUCUUCGGACCAAAGUGGGGGACCUUCGGGCCUCAUGCCAUCAGAUGUGCCCAGAUGGGAUUAGCUAGUAGGUGGGGUAACGGCUCACCUAGGCGACGAUCCCUAGCUGGUCUGGGAGGAUGACCAGCCACACUGGAACUGAGACACGGUCCAGACUCCUACGGGAGGCAGCAGUGGGGAAUAUUGCACAAUGGGCGCAAGCCUGAUGCAGCCAUGCCGCGUGUAUGAAGAAGGCCUUCGGGUUGUAAAGUACUUUCAGCGGGGAGGAAGGUGUUGUGGUUAAUAACCAGAGCAAUUGACGUUACCCGCAGAAGAAGCACCGGCUAACUCCGUGCCAGCCGCCGCGGUAAAAC